rnacentral:lncRNA from 1 species
CACAGGGGUCGAGUUUCCCCUAUUUAUGGUGUGCUGAAAGGGUCCAAAAAGCCUCAGGAACAAAUGCUGCUAAACUGCACUAUUGCAGAAAAAUCGAGAUCUGGGCGCCCUAAACCUAGUUUUGGGCGCCCAAAACUUCCAGCCUGCACAAAUAGUACCUCGGUUUCUCCGUCCGACGGUCUGUUACACCGCUAUUUGGUUCCAACGGAUCUCACCUACCAUACCCCACGUGUCAACACAAUCGAUAUUUCCAAAAUAAACUUCCGGACCCACAUCUGGGCGCCCG